rnacentral:rRNA from 1 species
AUACGUAGGGGGCAAGCGUUAUCCGGAAUCACUGGGCGUAAAGGGUGCGUAGGUGGCUUAUCAAGCCAGAGGUGAAAGGCAUUGGCUCAACCGUAGUAAGCUCUUGAAACUGGGAAACUUGAGUGCAGGAGAGGAAAGUGGAAUUCCUAGUGUAGCGGUGAAAUGCGUAGAUAUUAGGAGGAACACCAGUAGCGAAGGCGGCUUUCUGGACUGUAACUGACACUGAGGCACGAAAGCGUGGGGAGC